rnacentral:snRNA from 1 species
AUUGUUUUUCGGCCUUUUGGUUGAGAUUAGAUGUAAUAUCUCUUCUUAACAGCUUAGUAUCUGAUACGUGCUCUAUCCAAGAAGAACAUAUGAAAUGCACUUGUGGAAUUGAAAGAUUGUGUAGGAGAUUGACCUAUCCACUCCAUGCACUGUUUCCAAGAACGGUGGAUCCCCU